GUUAUGUUGGGGACACUUUUUGAUGUCCCUCCUAGCCAACUACUCAUCCACUUGGUAACACCACCAUAAUCUUCAUUCAACAACUGCUCCAUUUCCUCUUUUGGAAUGUCCAGGAUGCUCCCCAUCAACUGUAACACUUCACGACGUUUGCCUUUUGGUAUCUGGAAAUGACCAAUAAAAAGGUUUUGCAUGAGGACUUUGUCCACUUUUCCUUCUGCGCUGUUGACCAAAGUCGACAAUUUCUGUUGUGCAUGGUCCAACAUUUCUUUUCGGGGCUCCUUUUGUUUUUUCAGUUCUUCCAUCUGUUCUUCCUUGAGAUCUAAGUCUUCUCUCAGUCUGGAAGCAGAAUCCAACAGAGCAUUCACUUGAUCCAAAUGUUCCUGCAGUGAUGAUACUUCUCCUUCUAGCUUUUCGGCCUUGUUCUUCCAUUCAGCUAUUGACUGUUUUCCUUUGGCUAAUUCAGCAGAAUGCAGAGCUUUCUCUUCUUCUUGGAAGUGCUCUAGAACCCUUUUCAGGUUACUUGAUGACAGGGCACACUGUAAUUCUUGGUCCCCUAAGUGUUAACCUCUUUUUUUUCUUAGGAUUUUUACUUUGGUCUCUUGAAAAAUAUCAGAAUUCAAUGUUUGAGCAUCUCCUCUUUCUCCAGGCAACUGGGCUUUUAGUUCUUCAAUAGUUUUCUGCAAGUUCUUAAUUUCCUCCUCUCUUUCUAAAAUUAACUGGCUAUGCGCAGCAUUCAUCUGCUCAUAUUUGUACUUAAAUUCAUCCAUUUCCUCCUCCUGCUCCCGUAAAGACUGAAGUAGUUGCAUUUUACGCUGGUUUUGAUUUUCAAUUAUAUUCAGAUGGUCUUGAAUUUCAUCUUCCAGAUGAUUUUUGACUAUAUUCAGUUGAGAUACCUCCAAUUCUAGUUCUGU
rnacentral:lncRNA from 1 species